CCUUGGGUAGCUCAGAUGGUCAGAGCGCACGGCUGAUAUCCGUGAGGUCGGGAGUUCAAUCCUCUCCCCAAGGAC
rnacentral:tRNA from 1 species